UGUUAGUGAUCAACAUGUCCGGUUGAAGAGCGAGGCUAACCUUGAUUUGGAAGGAUAUAAGUUAGUUGUGCAGAAAAGGACGAGACAAAGUCCACAUCAGCAGUGGGGGUUUAGCACAGCCGGUCACAUUUACUCGACGGCUCACCCUGAAAUGGUCCUCACUUAUCUUGCGGAACUGAAGUUCAGGGGAGUGGUGACCCAGACAGAGCACCAGGUACAUUUUGAG